CUAAGAAUCUUGCGCAAUGGGCGAAAGCCUGACGCAGCAACGCCGCGUGGGGGAGGAAGGCCUUCGGGUUGUAAACCCCUUUUGCGAGGGAAGAAGUUCUGACGGUACCUCGCGAAUAAGCCACGGCUAACUACGUGCCAGCAGCCGCGGUAAUACGUAGGUGGCAAGCGUUGUCCGGAUUUAUUGGGCGUAAAGAGCCCGCAGGCGGCUCGGUGUGUUUUAGGUGAAAUCUCCCGGCUCAACUGGGAGGGGUCCUAGAAAACUAUCGGGCUUGAGGCAGGGAGGGGAAUGCGGAAUUCCAGGUGUAGCGGUGAAAUGCGUAGAUAUCUGGAGGAACAUCAGCGGCGAAGGCGGCAUUCUGGCCCUGUCCUGACGCUCAGGGGCGAAAGCGUGGGGAGCAAACCGG
rnacentral:rRNA from 1 species